rnacentral:rRNA from 1 species
UGCUCAGAGCGAACGCUGGCGGCAGGCUUAACACAUGCAAGUCGAGCGGGCAUAGCAAUAUGUCAGCGGCAGACGGGUGAGUAACGCGUGGGAACGUACCUUUUGGUUCGGAACAACACAGGGAAACUUGUGCUAAUACCGGAUAAGCCCUUACGGGGAAAGAUUUAUCGCCGAAAGAUCGGCCCGCGUCUGAUUAGCUAGUUGGUGGGGUAAUGGCCCACCAAGGCGACGAUCAGUAGCUGGUCUGAGAGGAUGAUCAGCCACAUUGGGACUGAGACACGGCCCAAACUCCUACGGGAGGCAGCAGUGGGGAAUAUUGGACAAUGGGCGCAAGCCUGAUCCAGCCAUGCCGCGUGAGUGAUGAAGGCCCUAGGGUUGUAAAGCUCUUUUGUGCGGGAAGAUAAUGACGGUACCGCAAGAAUAAGCCCCGGCUAACUUCGUGCCAGCAGCCGCGGUAAUACGAAGGGGGCUAGCGUUGCUCGGAAUCACUGGGCGUAAAGGGUGCGUAGGCGGGUCUUUAAGUCAGGGGUGAAAUCCUGGAGCUCAACUCCAGAACUGCCUUUGAUACCGAAGAUCUUGAGUUCGGGAGAGGUGAGUGGAAUUUCGAGUGUAGAGGUGAAAUUCGUAGAUAUUCGCAAGAACACCAGUGGCGAAGGCG